CUGUAACAAUUUCGGUGAGGAGGCUUGUCAGCCUGCUAGAAGAGCUAUAAAAGAGAAGCCUUGGGCCUGAUCCUGUCAGCUCUUGCCUGCUUAAACUUUGAACAGGGAAAGGAUAAACUGUAAGAUGGAGAUUUUCCAAAUAAUUAUUUGGAAAUACCUGGGAAAAUAUAUGGAAAGACUCGAACAGACUUUACAUCUAAGCUGCCUUUGUAGUCUGACCUUUUGGGAUGAUUCCAGAGACUUUUACAAGUCAGCAGUUUAUUGCAUCACUGCUGUGAUCUUGAUCUAAGAAUACGGGAAAUCAUUUAAUAAACUACCAGUUUGAGGGAUCGUCUGCCCUAUUUCUUGCAGUCUGCCCAGUCAGAAGGAAGUGGAACAAGGUCCCUGCCCAGAGACAUGUGAUGGCUGGAGACCUGAGUCCUGACAGGGCACUUCUGGAGUGGACAACAGAGGAAGAAUACAGAUGCAAUUACAGUGAAACUGUGCCAACACCGACCUGUGAAAACAGCAGGAUCAGCCACAAUGCACUACAUAGUUUGUUAGCCAGCUCCAACUACAACUGAUUGCCCACUCUUUGAAACUCUGCCAGCUUGGAAUGUUCCAGACCUUGAAGGUGCACUAAUCACACAGUAAUUUCCGUUCCAAAAGCUCCAUACACAUACCUGGAAGCAGCUGAAGUACGGUGAUCAAAAAGACUCUCACUCUCUCUGCCUCCCUGUUGUGAGUGGAAGAAAAGGUCUCAGACUUCCCACAGCUAAAGUGAUUGGAAGGCUGACCAGCAUGAAUUCCAACAGAAAUGAAAAGAAGGAGGAAACAAUUAG